AACGAACGCUGGCGGCAGGCCUAACACAUGCAAGUCGAGCGCCCCGCAAGGGGAGCGGCGGACGGGUGAGUAACGCGUGGGAACGUGCCCUUUGCUACGGAAUAGCCUCGGGAAACUGGGAGUAAUACCGUAUGUGCCCUACGGGGGAAAGAUUUAUCGGCAAAGGAUCGGCCCGCGUUGGAUUAGGUAGUUGGUGGGGUAAUGGCCUACCAAGCCGACGAUCCAUAGCUGGUUUGAGAGGAUGAUCAGCCACACUGGGACUGAGACACGGCCCAGACUCCUACGGGAGGCAGCAGUGGGGAAUCUUGGACAAUGGGCGCAAGCCUGAUCCAGCCAUGCCGCGUGAGCGAUGAAGGCCUUCGGGUUGUAAAGCUCUUUCGUGGGGGAAGAUAAUGACUGUACCCACAGAAGAAGCCCCGGCUAACUCCGUGCCAGCAGCCGCGGUAAUAC
rnacentral:rRNA from 1 species